CCAGCUCCAAUAGCGUAUAUUAAAUUUGUUGCAGUUAAAAAGCUCGUAGUCUAUGUUGAAACUUUUCGAUCUGUUUAAAGUGCUUUCUUCAUGGAAGUAUCUUUUAAGCUACGAAUUGUUUUAUAGAACCUCCUAACGAUGGCUAUUAAGUUAGUGUCGCUUUAAAUUGGAGGUUUCUACCUUGAGUAAAAUAGAGUGUUUAAAGCAUACAGUUUUGUAUGAAUAUAUUAGCAUGGGAUAGUAAUAAUGAUUAGAGUUUGUCAAUCUAUUCAUUAGUGGUUAAUAGGAGCAGUCGGGGGCGUUCAUAUUCAGUGGUCAGAGGUGAAAUUCUUGGAUUCACUGAGGAUGAACAGAUGCGAAAGCGUUCGCCAAGGAUGUUUUCA
rnacentral:rRNA from 1 species